GGCGGAUUUGUUAAGUCAGAUGUGADUUCCCCGAGCUUAACUUGGCNGCAUUUGAAACUAGACAGCUAGAGUCUUGUAGAGGGGRGUAGAAUUCCAGGUGUAGCGGUGAAAUGCGUAGAGAUCUGGAGGAAUACCGGUGGMRAAGGCGRCCAMCUGGACAAAGACUGACGCUCAGGUGCGAAAGCGUGGGGAGMAAACAGGAUUAGAUACCCURGUAGUCCACGCUGUAAACGAUGUCGAAUUUGGAGGUUGUGGGCUUGACCMGUGGCUWCCGGACKAACGMGAUUAAAUCGACC
rnacentral:rRNA from 1 species